UUCGUUGAGAGACGGAUAUCUCGCCUGUGCCAUAAGUGUCGUAAGUUGGCGAAUGCCGAUCGGGCCUUCUGAAUCCGUGCUGAGAUUUUGUCCGACACC
rnacentral:pre_miRNA from 1 species